rnacentral:rRNA from 1 species
AUUGUGUGAAUACAUAGCACAUUCGAGGUAGACGCAGAGAACUGAAACAUCUAAGUACCUGCAGGAAGAGAAAGAAAAUUCGAUUCCCUGAGUAGCGGCGAGCGAAACGGGAAAAGCCCAAACCAGCAAGCUUGCUUGUUGGGGUUGUAGGACUCCAAUAUGGUAGUUCUUUCAGAUAGUCGAAUGACUUGGAAAAGUCAGUCAAAGAGGGUAAAAACCCCGUAGACGAAAUGUGGAAGACACCUAGGAGGAUCCUGAGUACGGCGGAACACGAGAAAUUCCGUCGGAAUCCGGGAGGACCAUCUCCCAAGGCUAAAUACUCCCUAGUGACCGAUAGUGAACCAGUACCGUGAGGGAAAGGUGAAAAGCACCCCGGAAGGGGAGUGAAAUAGAACCUGAAACCGUGUGCCUACAACAAGUCAAAGCCCGUUAAUGGGUGAUGGCGUGCCUUUUGUAGAAUGAACCGGCGAGUUACGAUUGCAUGCGAGGUUAAGUUGAAGAGACGGAGCCGCAGCGAAAGCGAGUCUGAAUAGGGCGUUUGAGUAUGUAGUCGUAGACCCGAAACCAUGUGAUCUACCCAUGUCCAGGUUGAAGGUGCGGUAAAACGCACUGGAGGACCGAACCCACGUACGUUGAAAAGUGCGGGGAUGAGGUGUGGGUAGCGGAGAAAUUCCAAACGAACUUGGAGAUAGCUGGUUCUCUCCGAAAUAGCUUUAGGGCUAGCCUCGGAAUUGAGAAUGAUGGAGGUAGAGCACUGUUUGGACUAGGGGCCCAUCUCGGGUUACCGAAUUCAGAUAAACUCCGAAUGCCAUUCAUUCAUAUCCGGGAGUCAGACUGUGAGUGAUAAGAUCCAUAGUCGAAAGGGAAACAGCCCAGACCACCAGCUAAGGUCCCAAAAUAUAUGUUAAGUGGAAAAGGAUGUGGGGUUGCACAGACAACUAGGAUGUUGGCUUAGAAGCAGCCACCAUUUAAAGAGUGCGUAAUAGCUCACUAGUCGAGUGACCCUGCGCCGAAAAUGUACCGGGGCUAAACAUAUUACCGAAGCUGUGGAGUACACCUUUAGGUGUAUUGGUAGGAGAGCGUUCUAAGGGCGUUGAAGGCAGAUCGUGAGGACUGCUGGAGCGCUUAGAAGUGAGAAUGCCGGUAUGAGUAGCGAAAGACAGGU